CAGUAGCCGCGGUAAUACAGAGGGUGCGAGCGUUAAUCGGAUUUACUGGGCGUAAAGCGUGCGUAGGCGGCUUCUUAAGUCGGAUGUGAAAUCCCUGAGCUUAACUUAGGAAUUGCAUUCGAUACUGGGAAGCUAGAGUAUGGGAGAGGAUGGUAGAAUUCCAGGUGUAGCGGUGAAAUGCGUAGAGAUCUGGAGGAAUACCGAUGGAGAAGGCAGCCAUCUGGCCUAAUACUGACGCUGAGGUACGAAAGCAUGGGGAGCAAACAGGAUUAGAUACCCCGGUAGUCCCUGUCUCUUAUAC
rnacentral:rRNA from 1 species